UCUGGCAAUGAUGACCCACUUGCCCUCACUGAGAGCAAAGCUCGAUAAUGAGAACCUUUGUUAUGGACUCAAGUUCUGAGUCAGA
ensembl:snoRNA